AUUGAACGCUGGCGGCAGGCCUAAUACAUGCAAGUCGAGCGGAUGAAGGAAGCUCGUUCCUGGCUUCAGCGGCGGACGGAUGGGUAAGUCCCAGGUGUCUGACUGGCCUUGGGGGAUAACGUAAGGACAGGGGCGCUAAUCUAGCACACGUCAAGAUGUUGAAAGGGUGGGUUCUACGGACCUAACGCUAUUUGAUGUCCCUGGUUCGUAUUAGCUAGUUGGUUUGGUAAGGUCGUACCAAGGCGACGAUCCGUAGCUGACCUGAGAGGAUGAUCAGUCACACUGGAACUGAGACACGGUCCAGACUCCUACGGGAGGCAGCAGUAGGGAAUAUUCCACAAUGGGCGAAAGCCUGACGCAGCCAUGCCGCGUGAGUGAAGAAGGUCUUCGGAUUGUAAAGCUCUUUAAGUUGGGAAGAAGGACAGUAAGAGAAAACAUUCCUGUUUUGACGUUACCAACAGAGAAAGCACCGGCUAACUUCGUG
rnacentral:rRNA from 1 species